rnacentral:rRNA from 1 species
GACGAACGCUGGCGGCGUGCUUAACACAUGCAAGUCGAACGGACUAUUUAAUUUCGGUGAGAUGGUUAGUGGCGAACGGGUGAGUAAUGCGUCGGAACGUGCCGAGUAGUGGGGGAUAACGCAGCGAAAGUUGUGCUAAUACCGCAUACGUACUGAGGUAGAAAGUGGGGGACCUUCGGGCCUCACGCUAUUCGAGCGGCCGACGUCUGAUUAGCUAGUAGGUGAGGUAAAGGCUCACCUAGGCGACGAUCAGUAGCGGGUCUGAGAGGAUGCUCCGCCACACUGGGACUGAGACACGGCCCAGACUCCUACGGGAGGCAGCAGUGGGGAAUUUUGGACAAUGGGCGAAAGCCUGAUCCAGCCAUGCCGCGUGUCUGAAGAAGGCCUUCGGGUUGUAAAGGACUUUUGUCAGGGAGGAAAUCCCUAGUGCUAAUAACACUGGGGGAUGACAGUACCUGAAGAAUAAGCACCGGCUAACUACGUGCCAGCAGCCGCAGUAA